CUGGUUGAUCCUGCCAGUAAUCAUAUGCUUGUCUCAAAGAUUAAGACAUGCAUGCCUAAGUACAAACUCUAGCACAGUGAAACUGCGAAUGGCUCAUUAGAUCAGUUAUGGUUCCUUAGAUGAUACAAUCCUACUUGGAUAACUGUGGUAAUUCUAGAGCUAAUACAUGCACUAAAGCUCCGACCCUUUCUGAGGGGAAGAGCGCGUUUAUCAGUUCGAAGCCAGCCGAGCCGCAAGGCUCSUCUUUGGUGACUCUGGAUAACUCUAGCGGAUCGCACGGCCUCGAGCCGGCGACGCAUCUAUCAAGUGUCUGCCCUAUCAGACUGUCGAUGGUAAGUGCUAUGCUUACCAUGGUGAUAACGGGUAACGGGGAAUCAGGGUUCGAUUACGGAGAAGGAGCCUGAGAAACGGCUACCACAUCCAAGGAAGGCAGCAGGCGCGCAAAUUACCCAAUCUCGAUACGAGGAGGUAGUGACGAAAAAUAACAAUACGGGACUCUUUCGAGGCCCCGUAAUUAGAAUGAGUGUACUCUAAACGUGUGCACGAGGAUCUAUUGGAGGGCAAGUCUGGUGCCAGCAGCCGCGGUAAUUCCAGCUCCAAUAGCGUAUAUUAAAGCUGUUGUGGUUAAAAAGCUCGUAGUUGGAUCUCAGGGUCGUUCGCGUCGGUCCCUUGCUGCAAUGGCUCGGGUACUGCGCGGUGUCGUCCCCCUUGCCAGACCUCUCAAAAAGGUUGCUCUUGACUGAGUGGCCUGCUCGAGUGGCUGGAGAGUUUACUUUGAAAAAAUUAGAGUGUUCAAAGCAGGCACAGCCCGCCUGUAUAAUGGUGCAUGGAAUAAUGGAAUAGGACCCCGGAUCCUAUUUUGCUGGUUUUUGGAGCUCAGGGGUAAUGAUUAAGAGGAACAGGGCGGGGGCAUCCGUAUUACGGCGUUAGAGGUGAAAUUCUUGGAUCGUCGUAAGACGCCCUACAGCGAAAGCAUUUGCCAAGUAUGUUUUCAUUAAUCAAGAACGAAAGUCAGAGGUUCGAAGACGAUCAGAUACCGUCGUAGUUCUGACCGUAAACUAUGCCAACUGGCAGCCCGUCGGCGUUGCUCUAUUCGACUCGGCGGGAGGCCUKCCCGAAAGGAAAGUCUACGGGUUCCAGGGGAAGUAUGGUUGCAAAGCUGAAACUUAAAGGAAUUGACGG
rnacentral:rRNA from 1 species